UACGUAGGGGGCAAGCGUUGUCCGGAAUCAUUGGGCGUAAAGCGCGUGUAGGCGGUUCGGUAAGUCUGCUGUGAAAGUCCAGGGCUCAACCCUGGGAUGCCGGUGGAUACUGUCGGACUAGAGUACGGAAGAGGCGAGUGGAAUUCCCGGUGGAGCGGUGAAAUGCGCAGAUAUCAGGAGGAACACCGAUUGCGAAGGCAGCUCGCUGGGACGUAACUGACGCUGAGACGCGAAAGCGUGGGGAGCAAACAGG
rnacentral:rRNA from 1 species